rnacentral:rRNA from 1 species
AGUCGAGGGGUAUAUGUCUUCGGAUAUAGAGACCGGCGCACGGGUGCGUAACGCGUAUGCAAUCUGCCUUUCACAGAGGGAUAGCCCAGAGAAAUUUGGAUUAAUACCUCAUAGUAUUAUCGAAUGGCAUCAUUUUAUUAUUAAAGUCACAACGGUGAAAGAUGAGCAUGCGUCCCAUUAGCUAGUUGGUAAGGUAACGGCUUACCAAGGCAACGAUGGGUAGGGGUCCUGAGAGGGAGAUCCCCCACACUGGUACUGAGACACGGACCAGACUCCUACGGGAGGCAGCAGUGAGGAAUAUUGGACAAUGGGCGCAAGCCUGAUCCAGCCAUGCCGCGUGCAGGAUGACGGUCCUAUGGAUUGUAAACUGCUUUUGUACGAGAAGAAACAUCCCGACGUGUCGGGACUUGACGGUAUCGUAAGAAUAAGGAUCGGCUAACUCCGUGCCAGCAGCCGCGGUAAUACGGAGGAUCCAAGCGUUAUCCGGAAUCAUUGGGUUUAAAGGGUCCGUAGGCGGUUUAGUAAGUCAGUGGUGAAAGCCCAUCGCUCAACGGUGGAACGGCCAUUGAUACUGCUGAACUUGAAUUAUUAGGAAGUAACUAGAAUAUGUAGUGUAGCGGUGAAAUGCUUAGAUAUUACAUGGAAUACCAAUUGCGAAGGCAGGUUACUACUAAUGGAUUGACGCUGAUGGACGAAAGCGUGGGGAGCGAACAGGAUUAGAUACCCUGGUAGUCCACGCCGUAAACGAUGGAUACUAGCUGUUGGGGGCAACUUCAGUGGCUAAGCGAAAGUGAUAAGUAUCCC